GGGGUCUGAAAGGGAACAAUGCUGCUUGCUGUGUUCUCUGCUGACUUUCAGUCACUUUACCCACUACCCACAAGCAAAUUGGUGCCUUCUGGUGCUGAUUCCCAGGUGGGUGGGUCUGUGUAAGUUCUAGGACUCUGUAGGUCUCUCCAAGAAUCUCUUCUGUGGGGCUGGGAGUUUCUCUUGCUGCCCCAACCACUACAGGUGGUUCAGUUGGUGCUUUUAAGC